rnacentral:lncRNA from 1 species
AGAAUGCAACUGAAGAAAUGGCUGGUGCAAUUCAGCAAGUAAAGGCAGAAGCUAUGAAUUUGUGCUAUUGUCUGUGGGCUCCUUUCAGACUCACUAUAAGGUUCUCAAACAGUAGCUGCCACUUCUAGCUGGGAGAGAAAUGAGAGCUCUGCUCAUGGUGAUCCAGUAUCUCCAGAAUCCAUCACCACUGCUGACCUCCCACUCCAUGUCUCCAAGUGCUCUGCUAUACCUGCCACCAGCAGCUGCCACCUCCAGACUUUGGAAGGUUAUAAUAAAACCUCUGUUCUACGAUCUGCCUUCUGCUUCAACAUCCUCACUCCCCACAAACAAUUCUAAUAAACA